rnacentral:lncRNA from 1 species
AUGAAACAAAAUCUUAAAACACCUUCCCUCCCAUCCCUGCCUUUUUCCCAGACUCAACUUCAGAAUUCUCUCCUUCCAAGCAAUGCAGGGGGUGGGGAAUGGAGGCUGUGGUCAGUUCAUCACAUUGUCCUUGCUGCUCCUUCCUCCUCAUUCUCUUCCCUUGCCCCAAUGUGUCUUUUCCAUGUGUCUUCUUGCCACAGGGUACAGUCCUUCAGGAAAAGGCUGCUCCAGCAUGGGUCCCCCAGGGGCUCACAGCAAACCUGCUCCACCACAGACUCCUCUCUCCACGGGUCCUGCCAGGAGCCUCAUCCAGUGUGUGAUUCCCCUACAGCCAGGCUCCUCUGGGAACAUCCCCCUGGCUCCAUCCAUGGUUCCUUCUCAGGCUGCAGGUGGAUCCUUGCUCCAUCCAGGGCUCCUUCCCAGGCUGCAGGUGGAUCCUUGCUCCAUCCAGGGCUCCUUCCCAGGCUGCAGGNCAGGCUGCAGGUGGAUCCUUGCUCCAUCCAGGGCUCCUUCCCAGGCUGCAGGUGGAUCCUUGCUCCAUCCAGGGCUCCUUCCCAGGCUGCAGGAGCAUCUCAGCUCUUCACUGUGGACCCCCAUGGGCUGCAGGGAAUCUCAGCUCCAGCACCUGGAGCUCCUCCUGUCCCUCCUUCUGUGCCCUUGUGUCUGCAGGGCUGUUGCUCUCCCACAUUCUCACUCCUCUCUCUGGCUCCAGUUGCUCUUACACUUGGAAGGCUUUUCCUCCCUUCCCAAAUCCAUGAUCCCAGCAGUGCAUUGCUCUGUUGGGAUGUGCUCAGCCUUGGCUCUGCUGGACACAGGGGAAGCUUCUGGCAUCUUCUCCCAGACGUGACCCCUGAGCCCCCUCCCAAACCUGACACACCCACAGUGUCCUGCAGAACCCAAAGACUGAGGUUUCCUCCCACUGGAGAAGUUUUGGCUGUUGAAAUGAGGAGAUUAUUACAGCAAUGCUUUCAGCAUUAUCCAGGUCAUUUUCUCAUACAUUAA